GAAGAGUGGAGCAGUACGUCCGUCGCUCCGGCAAUGCUUAGUCACAUUCCUCCGGCUUGUCGAUGUCCGAUGAUGAAGAUGUCUGGCCUCGUCAGCUCAGACAGAUGGUCGGCCUUCGCCUUGUCGGUGCCCGGCCUGGUGGUGUCCGCCUCGUCGGUGUCAGACACGGUCUUGCCUUCGCCUCGUCGGUGCCCGGCAAGAUAUGGAUAG
rnacentral:rRNA from 1 species